GAGGCCUGCCUGCCCAGUGACAAACGUUCAACGGCCGCGGUAUCCUGACCGUGCAAAGGUAGCAUAAUCACUUGUUCCUUAAUUGGGGACUGGAAUGAAUGGCCUCACGAGGAUUCAACUGUCUCUUACCUCUAAUCAGUGAAAUUGACCUCCCCGUGAAGAGGCGGGGAUACAACAACAAGACGAGAAGACCCUAUGGAGCUUUAAUUUUCUGUCUUAACUAUUAAAUAACUAACCCUACUGGGAUAAAAAAAAGAGAAAUAAGUCAGUAAUUUCGGUUGGGGUGACCUCGGAGAAUAAGACAACCUCCGAAUGAUUUUAACCAAGACAAACAAGUCAAAGUAUUAAAAAUCAAAUUGACCCAAUUCAUUUGAUCAACGGACCAAGUUACCCUAGGGAUAACAGCGCAAUCCUAUUCAAGAGUCCAUAUCGACAAUUAGGGUUUACGACCUCGAUGUUGGAUCAGGACAUCCCAAUGGUGCAGCAGCUAUUAAUGGUUCGUUUGUUCAACGAUUAAAGUCCUACGUGAUCUG
rnacentral:rRNA from 1 species